rnacentral:rRNA from 1 species
GCAACGAGCGCAACCCUUGUCAUUAGUUGCCAUCAUUUAGUUGGGCACUCUAAUGAGACUGCCGGUGACAAACCGGAGGAAGGUGGGGAUGACGUCAAGUCCUCAUGGCCCUUAUGGGUAGGGCUUCACACGUCAUACAAUGGUCGGUACAGAGGGUUGCCAAGCCGCGAGGUGGAGCCAAUCCCUUAAAGCCGAUCGUAGUCCGGAUCGCAGUCUGCAACUCGACUGCGUGAAGUCGGAAUCGCUAGUAAUCGUGGAUCAGCAUGUCACGGUGAAUACGUUCCCGGGUCUU